AAUAAUGAAGAUUCAAACUCCACUGUCUAGCACCUGACUACCUUACAUCUCUCACCCUUUGGCUCCUUCCUCAAUUAUUUACGUUUUAAACCUCUCUUUUCCUCAUAAAGCAAUUUGAAUAACCAGGCGAGUUUAAAGGAUUUGGGAGCCUGACCUGAUGUAGCCACAAGGGGGCAGCAGAGGGUGAGGAUGGGCCAGAGCCUUUCAGCGCCACAAGGAAGCAACAGCACUGAUUCAGAAAUAGCACCAGCUGUCCUGAAUUAAUGGCUUGACCCUCUGCUUUCUUAUCUGGAAUUCUGGAGUGCAUCUUACAUCAGAUGAAAUACAGCAUGGAAACAUCUGUACUAUAUCUGAAAAAGUAGACCUGGAAUCCUGGCUUUGAAUCACGACUCUUCCAUUGUUUUCAAAAAGUCAAAUAGUUAUCGACUGAUGCCUCCUGAGUCCAAGGCCCUGUGCUAAGUAUCUGGAAUCAGAUCAUAAGAACAGAUAAUAUUCAUGGGACGUUAGUGUGGUGCCAAACACUUUUAUUUCAUCCCCCGUUCCCUAGGCAGGGUACAUUCUUAUUGUCCUCAUUUACAGAUGAGGGACCCAAGCCUUGGAGAGGCUUAUUAACUUCCCAAGGCCAUACAGCGAGUGAGCCAGGAGUCCAACCCCAAUAUUCCUGCUCCACAGCUCCUGCUCUGAAUCGCUUUACUGUGGUCUGUUCUGUCCCAUCUUAUCAAAUAAUACGGCUCCUGAUCUUGAAAGAGAGCGGUUUAGGGAAAGAAAAAGCGCUGUGAAGAGAGAAGUAGUGCUUCCAGUUCGCACGUGAGGCAAUCAAGGAAGAACUUGGAACGGCUCGGGCUGGGUCCAGUUGACAGAGGAGAUGGGCUCUGAAGUGACAGCUGAGCUGGUCCAAUCCACGCGACAUAACAGCUUGGCUGUUGCAUUGUCACCAGCUGAAGGAAGUCACCCAUAAUGGUGGCCACCAUGAGAACCAGUCAGCAGGCAAAGGACUUUGUGGAACUACCAAGAGAUGUGUUUCUUAAGAUGCCUUUCUUCUUCGUUCCACCUGCUGGCACAAGGAGCUGGAAGAGCCGCUCACCACGAGGCCCCACGCACAGGCCAACCAGAACUCCAGGUUCUCUUCGCUGAACUCCGUCUUCAAGAAAGCGUGGAAGGCAGCCACUCCAUCUGGGUUUGCAGGAAGAGAGGAAGAGACAGGGGCCCCAGGCCGGCCGGCAGGACUCACCCGUCUUUGCUGUGUUUACUGCCCCACUCAAAUUUGCCAACACUUGCGGGAUCGGAGCCCAGCUCUGACUUGUGAAGAAAGAUCCCCAGCCGGGUCUUGAACUCUUUGGCUCUGGAAGACAACACAUGAGCAUGUGAGGAAUCUCCAGUUGCUUGGCCAGGGCAGAGAGAUUGAGGGGGUCCCAGAAGAGCUCACGCUGGCGCCCCCCCAAAUUCCAGCCCCAAAGCUUCCUGGGACACUUGGCUAUUCCCAGGGCAUAAACGUUGCUUCUCUCAUCAGUAUCAUGAACCCAGAAACAAUGAAAGCAGUCUUUGAGCUGUGCCUCCAUAGGUCUUAUACUUUCUGGGUCUACAAUACAGCUGUAUUCAUGGGCUUUUUGGCAUUAAGUCACACCAAUCUAUCUUUGUGCCAGCUGAUGAGCAGAAGGCAGUUCAGCACACUCUGGGCUUGUCACAAAUAUUUCUAGAACUGUGUGGAAGUUGAUUUCUACCUUCAUCUUUACUUUUUCUUUCCCAGUCACCAGCUUCAGCAAAGAUUGGUGAGGCUGAGAAGCCCCCUGGGAAGUGGGCACAUCUCUCACCAGGUGGGGGGAAGGGGGGGACGCUGAAAAACACUUCCCUGGCUUCCCAGCACCUGAGGAGGCCAGGGCCCUAGCUCUGGGCUUUAAAACGAAAACCAAGUGCUUAAGAAACCAGGGAAGACAGUUCUGCCUGGUGAUGCCAACACCAGGUCUUCCUGCAGCCGAGACUUCAGCAGGUCAGCCAGGUAGAACUGCAACUUGUAUCAGAGGAUGGGGAAUGCCAAUAAGCAGCGGACCCUCUGCUUCCCUUUAAUUCGCCUUCUCCCUUCUGGUGGUCCACCCUCCACUAAGACUCUAAGGGAGGCAUCUGUGAACGCGGAACCAAGUUGACCUCCGCCUUUCAAGUUACUAGCGUCCCAUGCUCCUGUCCACCCAGGUCCCCAAGGCUGCCGCUCCGCUUCCUAAGGUUGAUGGGACUUGAACUUCUUUCUCCAGGCAGCUGGACAAGCUCCCCUUACCUCUCCAGGCAGGUGGUGGGGAAGGCAGCCAGGGUCCGGCACAUGGCUGCUGAUGCAGGGCAGCACGUC